UUAGGUUGAGGGCACGUCUGCCUGGGUGUCACAUAUCGAAUCCCCUUGCCAAUUUCCUAUUUAUUAGGUAUUGCGUGCAGGGUGAAUAUGUUGGCCUCCCGUGAGCUCUGUCUCGUGGUUGGUUGAAAAUUGAGACCUUGGUAGGGUGUGCCAUGAUAGAUGGUGGAUGUGUGACCCACGAGACCAAAUCAUGUGCAGCUCUAUUGAACGUGGACUCUUUUACCCACAUGUGUUUUAUAACGCUCGUGAUGAGACCUCAGGUCAGGCGGGGCUACCCGCUGAAUUUAAGCAUAUCAAUAAGCGGAGGAAAAGAAACUAACAAGGAUUCCCUUAGUAACGGCGAGCGAACCGGGAU
rnacentral:rRNA from 1 species